rnacentral:rRNA from 1 species
GACGAACCGUGCGAACGUUGUUCGGAAUCACUGGGCUUAAAGGGCGCGUAGGCGGGUGUGCAAGUCUGCGGUGAAAGCCUCCAGCUUAACUGGAGAAGUGCCGUGGAUACUGCUCAUCUCGAGGAGGGUAGGGGCAUCUGGAACGUUGGGUGGAGCGGUGAAAUGCGUUGAUAUCCAACGGAACUCCGGUGGCGAAGGCGAGGUGCUGGACCCUUUCUGACGCUGAGGCGCGAAAGCCAGGGGAGCGAACGGG